rnacentral:rRNA from 1 species
CCUACGGGGCGCAGCAGUGGGGAAUAUUGCACAAUGGGGGAAACCCUGAUGCAGCGACGCCGCGUGAGUGAAGAAGUAUUUCGGUAUGUAAAGCUCUAUCAGCAGGAACGAGACAAGACGGUACCUGACUAAGAAGCCCCGGCUAACUACGUGCCAGCAGCCGCGGUAAUACGUAGGGGGCAAGCGUUAUCCGGAUUUACUGGGUGUAAAGGGCGUGUAGGCGGGAGUGCAAGUCAG